AUUGAACGCUGGCGGCAGGCCUAACACAUGCAAGUCGAGCGAGCGGCGGACGGGUGAGUAAUGUCUGGGAAAAUGCCUGUUGGCGAGGGAUAACUACUGGAAACGGUAGCUAAAACCGCAUGCCAUCAGAUGUGCCCAGAUGGGAUUAGCUUGUCGGUGGGGUAACGGCUCACCUAGGCGACGAUCCCUCGCUGGUCUGAGAGGAUGACCCGCCACACUGGGACUGAGACACGGUCCAGACUCCUACGGGAGGCAGCAGUGGGGAAUAUUGCGCAAUGGGCGCAAGCCUGAUGCAGCCAUGCCGCGUGUGUGAAGAAGGCCUUCGGGUUGUAAAGCUCUUUCGGCGGGGAGGCGUUACCCGCAGAAGAAGCACCGGCUAACUCCGUGCCAGCAGCCGCGGUAAUUC
rnacentral:rRNA from 1 species